rnacentral:rRNA from 1 species
UUAUGGCUCAGAACGAACGCUGGCGGCGAUGGAUUAGGCAUGCAAGUCGAACGAAGUAGCAAUACUUAGUGGCGCAAGGGUGAGGAACGCGUGAGUGACCUACCCGCAAGUUUGGAACAGCUCCUGGAAACGGGAAUUAAUGCCGGAUGUGAUCAAUGGACUGCAUGGUUUAUUGAUUAAAGCAGUAAUGCGCUUGCGGAUGGGCUCGCGUCCCAUUAGCUAGUUGGUGAGGUAACGGCCCACCAAGGCCAUGAUGGGUAGCUGGUCUGAGAGGACGACCAGCCACACUGGGACUGAGAACUGCCCAGACUCCUACGGGAGGCUGCAGUCGAGAAUUUUGGGCAAUGGACGAAAGUCUGAACCCCAGCAAUGCCGCGUGCGGGAUGAAGGUCUUCGGAUUGUAAACCGCUGUUUGGAGGGACGAAAAUUGACGGUACUUCCAGAGAAAGCCACGGCUAACUACGUGCCAGCAGCCGC